rnacentral:rRNA from 1 species
UCGAGAAUCAUUCGCAAUGGACGAAAGUCUGACGGUGCGACGCCGCGUGGAGGAUGACGGUCCUAGGAUUGUAAACUCCUGUCAUCAGGGAGUAAGGCUGUAUUGGUUAAUAACCCUUACAGUUGAUAGUACC